UCCUCACGAUACCAGGAAAAAAGUCUAUCCGGAUCGCUGGGAGUUGCUCAACGCACUGAGGAAAAUUUCAUUCGUUACGGAGGAUUCACAACGACAACUAAGCAGACGCAAGAUGAGGAACGAAAAUAUUGAUCGUGGUG